AGCACCAUCGGCUCCGGAAUCACCACCACCAGCCUCCAUCCCCUGCCAGCAUUGUCAGCACCGCCACCAGCACCGCCGGCCUCAGGACCAAGCCCACCACCAGCGGGCGUUGACGGAGGCGGGUGUGCGGCUCUGGCGCAGCUGAGCCGUCGACCGCCGGAGCCAAUCGGGCAGUCCGGCAUUUCAGCUGCCGCACACUCGCCCGUCACAGGAUCAGAGGCCUCCCGAGACAGCUUCCCGUUUCCGACCGGCUGAGACGGCUCCCGUCCCAGCAUUGGCAGCACCGCCACCAGCACCGCCGGCCUCAGGACCAAGCCCACCACCAGCGGGCGUUGACGGAGGCGGGUGUGCGGCUCUGGCGCAGCUGAGCCGUCGACCGCCGGAGUCAAUCCGGCAGUCCGGCAUUUCAGCUGCCGCACACUCGCCCGUCACAG